UACUAGAGUAGCACUCGCAUAUCAAUAAGCGGAGGAAAAGAAACUAACAAGGAUUCCCUUAGUAACGGCGAGUGAAGCGGGAAGAGCUCAAAUUUGAAAUCUUCAAGGUUCUACCUUGACGAAUUGUAGUUUAUAGAAGUGUUUUCUGUUAGUAGAGUGGCAAAAGUUCUUUGGAAUAGGACAUCAUAGAGGGUGAGAAUCCCGUAUUUGGUCAUUCUUUCUAGCUUUGUGAUACACUUUCAAAGAGUCGGAUUGUUUGGGAAUGCAGUCCAAAAUGGCGUGGUAAAUUUCAUCUAAAGCUAAAUAGUUGGCGAGAGACCGAUAGCGAACAAGUACCGUGAGGGAAAGAUGAAAAGAACUUUGAAAAGAGAGUUAAACAGUACGUGAAAUUGUCAAAAGGGAAGCGUUUGACACCAGUGUUGUUUUUUCCGAAAAUCAAUUACGAAUGUUUUGUUUUUGAGAAGUUAUGACUUCAUCGGCUUGCUUCUCUCUUUAUGAAACUUUCUUAAUGCACUUUUCGGUUAACAAGUCAACAUCAAUUUCUUUUGUUGUAAAAGGGUAUGAGGAAGGUGGCUUUCUUUUCGGAGAAAGUGUUUAUAGCCUUGUACCUCUGCAAUCGGAGAGAUUGAGGUCUGCAGCGUAGAUCCUUCGGGGUUAGAUACAUUUGUGCUAAGUUAUAGCUUUUCAUAGACAACUUGUUGACUAUGUUUAGUCUUGUAGCUUACUCGCUUACGCUAUUUUACCUACGCUUAGGAUGUUGAAGAUGUAGCACAUCAU
rnacentral:rRNA from 1 species